GACGAACGCUGGCGGCGUGCUUAACACAUGCAAGUCGAACGGUGAAGCGCCUUCCUUUUUGGUGGGUGUGGAUGAGUGGCGAACGGGUGAGUAACACGUGAGUAACCUGCCCCCUUCUUCUGGAUAACCGCAUGAAAGUGUGGCUAAUACGGGAUAUUCUGGGUCUGUCGCAUGAUGGGUCUGGGAAAGAUAUUGUUUCGGUGGGGGAUGGGCUCGCGGCCUAUCAGCUUGUUGGUGGGGUGAUGGCCUACCAAGGCGGUGACGGGUAGCCGGCCUGAGAGGGUGGACGGUCACACUGGGACUGAGACACGGCCCAGACUCCUACGGGAGGCAGCAGUGGGGAAUAUUGCACAGUGGGCGCAAGCCUGAUGCAGCGACGCGGCGGGAGGGAUGGAGGCCUUCGGGUUGUGAACCUCUUUCGCCAGUGAAGCGGGCCUGCCUCGUUUGUGGGUGGGUUGACGGUAGCUGGAUAAGAAGCGCCGGCUAACUACGUG
rnacentral:rRNA from 1 species